rnacentral:rRNA from 1 species
UCCGUAGGUGAACCUGCGGAGGGGUCAUUACCGGGUUUACAACUCCCAAACCCCUGUGAACAAACCCCAUUGUUGCCUCGGCGGAUCAGCCCGCUCCCGGUAAAACGGGACGGCCCGCCAGAGGACCCCUAAACUCUGUUUCUAUAUGUAACUUCUGAGUAAAACCAUAAAUAAAUCAAAACUUUCAACAACGGAUCUCUUGGUUCUGGCAUCAAUGAAAAACGCACCAAAAUGCGAUAAGUAAUGUGAAUUGCAAAAUUCAGUGAAUCAUCGAAUCUUUGAACGCACAUUGCGCCCGCCAGUAUUCUGGCGGGCAUGCCUGUUCAAGCGUCUUUUCAACCCUCAAGCCCUCGGGUUUGUUGUUGGGGAUCGGCGAGCCUUUCUGGCAAGCCGGCCCCGAAAUCUAGUGGCGUUCUCGCUGCAGCCUCCAUUGCGUAGUAUUAAAACCCUCGCAACUGGAACGCGGCGCGGCCAAGCCGUUAAACCCCCAACUUCUGAAUGUUGACCUCGGAUCAGGUAGGAAUACCCGCUGAACUUAAGCAUAUCAAUAAGCGGAGGA